AUUGAACGCUGGCGGCAGGCUUAACACAUGCAAGUCGAGCGGGGUGAUGGUGCUUGCACUAUCACUUAGCGGCGGACGGGUGAGUAAUGUCUGGGGAUCUGCCCGAUAGAGGGGGAUAACCACUGGAAACGGUGGCUAAUACCGCAUAACGUCGCAAAACCAAAGAGGGGGACCUUCGGGCCUCUCACUAUCGGAUGAACCCAGAUGGGAUUAGCUAGUAGGCGGGGUAACGGCCCACCUAGGCGACGAUCCCUAGCUGGUCUGAGAGGAUGACCAGCCACACUGGAACUGAGACACGGUCCAGACUCCUACGGGAGGCAGCAGUGGGGAAUAUUGCACAAUGGGCGCAAGCCUGAUGCAGCCAUGCCGCGUGUAUGAAGAAGGCCUUCGGGUUGUAAAGUACUUUCAGCGGGGAGGAAGGCGAUGUGGUUAAUAACCGCGUCGAUUGACGUUACCCGCAGAAGAAGCACCGGCUAACUCCGUGCCAGCCGCCGCCGUAA
rnacentral:rRNA from 1 species